UACGGAGGGUGCGAGCGUUAUCCGGAUUCACUGGGUUUAAAGGGUGCGUAGGUGGGCUUGUAAGUCAGUGGUGAAAUCUCCGGGCUUAACCUGGAAACUGCCAUUGAUACUACAGGUCUUGAAUUUUCUGGAGGUAAGCGGAAUAUGUCAUGUAGCGGUGAAAUGCUUAGAUAUGACAUAGAACACCAAUUGCGAAGGCAGCUUGCUACAGGAAUAUUGACACUGAGGCACGAAAGCGUGGGGAUCAAACAGG
rnacentral:rRNA from 1 species